UACGUAGGGAGCGAGCGUUGUCCGGAUUCAUUGGCGUAAAGAGCUCGUAGGCGGUUCAGUAAGUCGGGUGUGAAAUCUCCCGUGCUCAACACGGAGCGGCCACCUGAUACUGCUGUGACUCGAGUCCGGUAGGGAGUGUGGAAUUCCCGGUGUAGCGGUGAAAUGCGCAGAUAUCGGGAGGAACACCAGUAGCGAAGGCGGCGACCUCUGGGCCGUGA
rnacentral:rRNA from 1 species